UCCGGUGUAGCUCAGCUGGCAGAGCGGGUGGCUGUUAACCACUAGGUCGGGGGUUCGAAUCCCUCCGCCGGAGCCA
rnacentral:tRNA from 1 species